rnacentral:lncRNA from 1 species
GAGAGGGCUGCCGAUUAGUGCAGCGGCGGCGCGGCAAGAUGCCGGAGAGGGACGCCGGAGAGGGCUGCCGAUUAGUGCAGCAACGGCCGCAGCGGAGAGGGUUUCGUUGGCGAUAAGCCACUAGCGUAUGAUACCAUGUAGAGAGUUUUGGGAGAAGUCCAAUUGUCUAUUGUUCACAAAAGUAUAUAUAUAGAGUAUAGAGAGGUAUCAAAUCCUAUCAACUAUUAGGACUAUAAAUCCUAAUCCUAUCAACUAUAGGACUAUAAAUCCUAAUUCUAUCAACUAUAGGACUGUACAUAAAUCCUAAUAGAGAAAUCUCUCAAAUCCUUUUCCGAAAUCCUCUCUAAAGAAAUCUCCCCCAUUUUUAGAACCUGUUUUUCUAAAAAUAACUUCUCCUUUAUAUAUCCUUCAGGUUCUCUCCAAAAAAACACCUCAAACCAAAAAUCCCCUCCCAAACCAAUUUGAUCCCUUUCUGAUGGAAAAAAGGGGCAAAUGGAGGGAGUAGAUUGACUUGAAUCCAAUCUAACGCUCCCCAUUUUUUCUCAUUUCCGUCUGGAGGGCAAAAAACCAAAGAAAAUCCAAGAGAGCAUGUGAGGAAGAGGGAAUCUUUCAUAAACGGUAAGAAAUGGCAAGAGGAGAGAAGGAGGGAACGCGUGGUCAUGAGAUUGGGGCUCACUCGCCCUGGUUUUAUACUGAAAUGAAGCUAGGAUUCGCUUCGGAGAAGAGGAACAGUGUUC